AUGCAGUCGAACGCGAAAGGCUCCUUCGGGGGCCGAGUAGAGUGGCGCACGGNCUGNNUAACACGUAGGGUAAUUUGCCUUUGGGUGGGGAAUAACUCAGGGAAACUUGAGCUAAUACCGCAUAAUGCAGCGGCUCGACAUCGAGACAGUUGUUAAAGCGGGGGCUUCGUAAGAACCUCGCGCCUGAAGAGAAGCCUGCGGCAGAUUAGCUAGUUGGUAGGGUAAUGGCCUACCAAGGCGACGAUCUGUAACCGGCCUGAGAGGGCGGUCGGUCACACUGACACUGACAUACGGGUCAGACUCCUACGGGAGGCAGCAGUCGGGAAUUUUGGGCAAUGGGCGAAAGCCUGACCCAGCAACGCCGCGUGAAGGAUGAAAUCCCUCGGGAUGUAAACUUCGCAAGAACAGGAAGAAUAAGUAGAAGCAAAUACCUUCUAUGAUGACGGUACUGUUUGUAAGCUCCGGCUAACUCCGUGCCAGCAGCCGCGGUAAUACGGGGGGAGCAAGCGUUGUUCGGAUUUACUGGGCGUAAAGGGCGCGUAGGCGGUCGUGACAAGUCACUUGUGAAAUCUCAGGGCUUAACUCUGAACGGUCAAGUGAUACUGUCGGACUAGAGUACAGAAGGGGCAACUGGNAAUUCUCGGUGUAGCGGUGGAAAUGCGUAAAAUAUCGAGAAGNAACACCUGCCGGCCGAAAGGCGGGUUGCUGGGCUGNAUACUGAACCCUUGANGCNCGAAAAGCCAGGGGAAGCNAACGGGAUUUAAANCCCCCGGNUAGUCCUGGCCUU
rnacentral:rRNA from 1 species